rnacentral:rRNA from 1 species
AGCGAACGCUGGCGGCAGGCCUAACACAUGCAAGUCGAACGGAUCCCUCGGGAUUAGUGGCGGACGGGUGAGUCACACGUGGGAACGUGCCCUUUGGUUCGGAACAACUCAGGGAAACUUGAGCUAAUACCGGAUGUGCCCUUCGGGGGAAAGAUUUAUCGCCAUUGGAGCGGCCCGCGUCUGAUUAGCUAGUUGGUGAGGUAACGGCCCACCAAGGCGACGAUCAGUAGCUGGUCUGAGAGGAUGAUCAGCCACACUGGGACUGAGACACGGCCCAGACUCCUACGGGAGGCAGCAGUGGGGAAUCUUGCGCAAUGGGCGAAAGCCUGACGCAGCCAUGCCGCGUGAAUGAUGAAGGUCUUAGGAUUGUAAAAUUCUUUCAGCGGGGACGAUAAUGACGGUACCCGCAGAAGAAGCUCCGGCUAACUUCGUG